rnacentral:tRNA from 1 species
UGGGGCGUAGCCAAGUGGUACGGCAGCGGGUUUUGGAUCCGCCAUGCGAAGGUUCGAAUCCUUCCGCCCCAACCA